UAGGUGGCAGUAAUGUUAUUUUAAUAGCGUUGGUGUUCACUUUGGAGGCGGCCACUGAUGACGUUGAAAAUUUGCGCCACACAGACAAAACAGUUUCACCAAAACAGACUUUUCUCGCAAGUUAAAUUGCUAUUUUAAUGAUGCUGCAGCCGCAUUUACCCAAAUUUGUGACAGAAGAAAAUAUUUCAGUAAAAAGCUGUGCUGACGACUGUCCGACAUCAAGUGAAACUGGGGGAAAUGAGGAAAACCCGUUCAACUUCAGACCUCAAGUGAUACACCUGCCCAAAGACCAUGAGCUUUUUGAGGAUGGAGACGUUCAGAGACACAUGUACCUGCAAAACUUUUACAUCUCAGCAGCAGAUGAGGAGCCCUCCCUCAGAGUGUCAGAGUUUGCCUGCCACAUCUCUGGCUGUACAGCAGCCUUUAAAACUUUGCAGGAAUAUGAGCACCACUAUAACUCACUGCAUAGACACGUGUGUUGCAUCUGCCGCCGCUCUCUCCCCACUGCCCGUCUCCUGGACAUUCAUAUACAGGAGUGGCAUGACUCUCUCUUUGCUGUUCUGGCACAAAAACAAGAUAUGUACCAGUGUCUGGUGGAGGGCUGUGGACGCACAUUUAGGACGAUUAAGGAGAGAAAGGACCACUUAAUAAUUAUUCACAAAUACCCACCAGAUUUCAGAUUUGACAAAAUAAGAAAAGUCAACAGGGACAAGAGGAGAGCACAGGCCAGUGACACAGAGAUGGAGGUUGUGUCUGAUGUGUGUGAGUCUGAGGGCCCAUGUGAAGUUGUCUGCAGCGAUAUGUCAAACCAAAGUGAAGAUCCAGAACCCAGUCAUAUGAACAUUUCAGAAGAAAACAUUGGUCAUAUGGAAACGUCUGUAUCUGCUCCUGAUCCUAUUGAACCAACGAAACCUCAAUACUCAUACAGGGUUCCUGCAAAUGUGUGCUUUGGUCAAGGUUCAGUGCGUGGAUUUAGAGGACGACGAGGAAAGAGAACUUGACACUUUACAAGAUAUUGAGUUUGGUGACACGGAGGCGCGUUCCACAUGGCGUCUGACACAGAGCCCGGCCUAUAACAUCAAGUGAUAACAGGGUCCACGUCGUCUCCUGAAGUACUGAAAGAAAGGGGAGGGCACAGCAGAGGCCCCUGAAUCAACAACCAUUAAAUUCUCUGCACCCUUGUAUAGAGACACUUUCAAGACUUUAUAAAGACCCCAAGUGCCAAAGGAAUCUAGACUAAAUCUUUUGGCUUGGCACAUGCCUUCUGUUACUAAGUGGCUUCAUAUUGAAAGGCUCUGCGGUCUCUAUUCUGUGUCCCACCGGGUGCCAGCCUCUCUGCCCUGGCAGCUGCUGCGCUUCAGAAUAGCCCCAUAGUCUCCCCUCUGCAGGUGAGCCGCACAGCCAAAACAGGGCCCCUCAAAGGGCCUUUCACUGCCUCAAUAGGAAACUGACUUGGGGAGAGAGGAGCGGGCACACAAUGGCUGCUUUUUCUGGACUCAGAGAAGAUGGAGAUGAGCUAUUGGUGCCGCUUUGAGACUAUGGCUGAAAAAUAAUAGGAACAAACAUGCAAUUUUAAAUACAAUCAUAUGACAUAUGAUAUUUUAACAUAUUUUUGUAAAGAGGUAUGUAGUAUAAUUAAUAUAUUAUUAAGUGAUACAGGAAAAUUAUUAAUAAUUAAGUAUAUCUAUAAUUGAAAACAGAAAAAUCAAACCUCAGUGAGCUUCACCUGUGUGAAGUAUACACUUUUAUUUAAUUGACAGUUUGCCUACAAGGACUGACACUGAAAAUAUCUACUUAUUAUGCUAUUUGAUUAUGGCAUCUGGAUAUUACAUUUACAGGUAAAAGACAAAUGUACUUUUAUAAUAUGCAAUCUGCAAUAUUAGUUUUAUAUAAAAUCAUAACAUAAAAUCAUAAUAAGCACCAUGGCUGCACAAUAUCAAAAUCGAAUCAAAAUUCACCAUAUCACAAAGACUACAAUAAUAGAAUGUCUACAAAAACAAUAUGAAAAAAAGUUUAGAACUGUACAAACAUGUUCUCAAAUGAAUGGGAUUAGUUCAGCUGUUCAUAUUUCUCCUUUCCUGUAUAAAUAUUUAAAAUGUGCAGUGUAACCAGAAUCUUAAUUUUAAAACAUAAAUCACAAAUCUUAUCUUAAUUCUUGUCACACAACUUGCAUUUGCAUUCUUUACAAAUUGUGUAGCCCUCACCAACAAAUAUGCAGUAUAUUAUGCAACCUAUAUACAUUAAAAGACUGCUUAUGUUCUUUUUAAACAAUUCAUAAAUGCAAACCAAUUGGCCCUUGAGCCUUUCUAAACUCCCACCAUGCACCACUGUCUUGUCAUCCUGAGUCCUUCAUGUAAUUGCUAUUCCUUUGAAACCUGAUAAAAAGAAAAAUGUUUUUACCAUGUCCUGGGGUAGUAGGGUGAUACUCCAUUCCAUACCUCACCAGUGUUUUGCCCCAGUCCACUGAGGAGCUCCCGUCCUGCUCAGGCACUUCCCAUACUGUGAGGGAAGAAUGUACUUCUCUCUCCAAUGUCCCAGAGUUUCUUAUAGUUUUAUUGGCAACAGCUUUCACUGGCAUUGAAGGCGCUACAAUCAUACAUUAGAUAGAGAAUUUUUGAGUUUGAAAUGGUAGCGAGUAAGGAACUGGAAAGGCUGGUUAUUCCUUCUCUGUAAUUCACCGUAUCCACAUCCUGAAACAGCCACAGCAAGUCCCCCACAUCUGAAAGAUCGGAGCACAAACCAAGAUGCCUCUAUGAAUGGCGAUAUAGUGCAUUCUGUCAGACAAUUUUUCCAAGACGCUCCCGAGAACAAUUGUAGUCAUUUAGAUGUUAAGGUCAUAGUAUAUAUCAAUAUUUUCCACUUUUUUGUUUGACAGUAAGUAAGUAAAAUGAUCAUGCAAUAGCUUUAAAGGAUGUAAUUAAAAUGCUCGCUAAUUUGAUCCAGGUUUCCCCAGGGAUUAAACCGUAGCGUAGCCGCUUCACUAUAAUACUUUGUGAUCUUUAAAUUAUGACAUUAAGAGAUGAAAAUCGUGCAAAUCAUCGCAAUCAGAAUGGUUUUAUGUGUUCCAAAUGUUGGCCCGCUCUGCUACAGAUUACACAAAUAUUUCUCCAUGAUAUUCGGCUGUUAUUGUUUACAUUUCACAUGAGAUUUAAAACACACAGCGCCUCUAGCUGUCUAAUAUAAUUUAGGUGGGUAAAAGAUGCUAUCAGUCCUUGUCUCAUUUUUCCUCGUUCCUCCUCCUCCUUUAAUCAGUUCCACUCUGUUAUUGCUGGCCCCGGGCUGUUUACCUCUGCACUAAACUGCUUUCACAAGGCUGAGACCAAAGCCUGCUCAAAUGUCCGUUAGACCCUUUAAAAACCUCCGUGGAUGCGGGCCUGACCUCUUGGCUGUUGUUGCCAUCAUUAUGGAAUCAGUGCACGCUGAUCUGGCGUUCUUCGCACCUUCUAAAGCCAGGAAUCACUUUUCCCUCUGAAGUUACUCGACCACUUCUUGAAAGGUUAAGUGGUAAAUAGGGGGCUCUUACAGCAGCAGAAGGCAGGGCAGACUGGGAGAGACAGGCCAAACCACAGAGCUGGAGGACAUUAGGGGCAUAUAUGAAGGCUAUGACAGAUAUAAGCUGAGGACAGACAUGCUCACGAAUGCACCACGCUUGAUGUACUAUUUGCUCUGGAGGUUGGAAGAAGAAAGGAGCAUUUCCUGCUGUUGGCAGCUGGGAGUGAUUUAGUGACAUUAGUAAAAGCCUGUACUGGUAAAUGUCUUUUCUCAGACAGAGGUUCAGAGGGCCAUGUAAACUCAUAAUGUGCCCUAACCCUCCCUGCUCAGAUUCAUCUGCUGUUUGAAAGAACAGUCUUUCACCAUAUAAAAAGUGUUCCUAAGAUUUAACCUUUCAUUGUUUGUGUUUCAUUUAAAGUUUUCUGUGUGGUUUUAGUAACACAAGAAAGAAAAAUAAUUACAUAAUUCUCCCCAUAAAACAUUAGACAAGUCAAUAUAAUUAGCACCUAUUAGCAGAGUUGGAAAGUAACUAAAUACACAAUACUACUGUAUAAUCCUGAAAAUAUGUAUUCAGAAAACGUAUUUUGAGUAACUGUAUUCCGGUACUGUUACUCCUUAAAUUUGUGGUGUUCAGUUUACAGUUACUUCUUAAAAUCAAAGGAAUGCAUUGCUGUAUUUGAUCGCACAAGGUAGACUGCUCUUGUAGUGUGUGUGUGUCUUCCUGUAAUCAUUGAUAAAUAAAUGCAUAACAAAUAGUGAAAAAACUUUAAAAUUCACUUUUUUCUCCUCUUCACAUGAUAAUGUAACUUGACCUGAAAGUAGGCUACUCAUUCACAAUACUCUG